UGUUUCUUGCAGCAGCUGUUUUCAGCAAAAACCCCGAUAAACCUGCAGGGCUCAACCUGCCCAGAAAAUGAAGUUCGCAGCUAAAGAGCUACUCCAACUCCAAGCUUACUGGUGAAGAGGAUGCAUCUAACAGUGAGUGGAAGCGUGACGUGAAUGCUUUGUCUACACCGGAAGAAGCAGAAGCGUGAGCUGAGGGCUGAGAGACUGACACAGCAGCAGCAAGAACCAAUCGGCUACCUCCGCUGUCCUAGCUGUCCAAUCGGCGACUCGCCACCCAGGCUUUCAUAACCAUGUUGUGUACAGUGUAUUAUUUUUAUACUGGGGGUGUGAAAUACAUCUUGAGCAACAGUCUGGUCUUGAAUUAUUAGAAUGUCAUGAUAAAGUGAGAGUUAAUCAAAAAUACUUUUCUAAAAAGCAAAAGAUAACCUAAAACAGGGUUUCUUAAACUUAUCAGACCUCAAUUAUGGGGUCAGAAAUUCCCAUUAAUGCAGCUUUUAAACAGAUGUCAAGUUGUCAUGUCAAAUAGAGAAGGGUAUUCUUGUUGUAUUUCAAGUGCAUGGUGAAUCUAGUUUUGUAUUUAAUAUUUGUUUUUAUGCUAGCCAAAUAACAAGAUAUGAGUCUGAGAAAUCACCCAUGACCCUGACUGCUUUUAAAAAAUGAGCUCCAGACCCCAAAACUGAGAAAUGCUGACCUAUAGAAAUGAUGAAAGAGCUGUUUUUAGACUUGUAUGUUUUGCGGUAAAUUAGUGAUUGUUUAUUGGUUCCCAUAUUGUUCACACUCCUCACGAUGGAACAGACUCCGUAGUGGUAGAGAGGAGGUCUUGUUGCUCAGGCUGUAUUUGCUGACAGGCGAAUUUUGUCACAUACAUCCAUUCCUCAUGUUAGUCAGGCCUUAAACCCAUAAUCAAGAUGAAUUCCGCUCAGGAUCAAAUUCAUAUUGUUUUACACCUCAAAUUUCCUUAUUCCAUGCACAUAUCACCUUCACCUAAUUAUAAAAUGUUUAAAAAGGGCUUUAAAGUAUACAAUUGGGGGAUUUCUGCUCCAUCAUGGUUUUUCUUUCAAGUCUUUGUGCUCGACUAAGCUAAUUGUCUAUUGGCCAAAGCUUCAUAUUUACCGUAUAGACGUGAGAAGCGUAUCAAUCUUCUCAUCAAACUCUUGGCAAGAAAGCGAAUAAGCUCAUUUCCCCAAAAAUUAAGAGCCGUAUUAAAGAGCUCUGUGUAUAAAAAGAGAUUAUUAAUUUUAGCUUUAUUUAAAAAGACAUCCUCUUCUACUGCAGUUGAGCUUCGGAGACUAUUCAUUAUAAUGUAUUCCUUCUGACAUGUAUGACGGUAGAAACAAAUCUCAUUACAGAUUAAAAAUGUAGGUAAAUGGAGAGUUCACUAAAUCUGUCUCAGCGUCCGCAGUAAUCGCUGACCUCCACCAGGUGGAGACGCUGCUCAGCAUUUGGACGCUGACAGUUGACUGAGGACAUUAUGUAACCUGAGAUUCCCCCAAAGUGCUCUCUGCACAGUUACUCUCUGACCUCUUCACUUCAUGGACUGUCACGUCCUCCCGGUGCUCUAAGGGGAG